rnacentral:lncRNA from 1 species
GACACACAUAAAUGUGAGUAUUAAGCAUGAAAUAAUCGAUGUAUAAUGUGUGCUUUUCCGCCCAAAUUUAAUUUGUUUAUGAAGACUAUGUCUCCUGAUUUAAAUGGCUUAUUGCUUUUAAUUUUUAACUUAAUGCUUCUUAUAUUGGUUAGAAUAGAGAGUGACUUUAAUGUAGUAGCUACAGUUGCAGAAUUCUUUAAAAGCACAGGAAAAUUUAAGAAAAUUUUAAAUUACACAUUUAAAGCAUAACCUGGAACAAUUCAUUGUUAAUAACACACACGCACGCACGCACGCACACACACACACACACAUAUAUAAUACUUUGCAUUUUAAAAUCAACAUUUAAAAGUCAAAACGACACACUUUAAUUUUUUGAAUUGUAAUUUUCUGAACAUUAUCACCCACUCUCGUGAUUUUUGUGUUCACUCCCCCAAACAUUUUAAUAUUGCAUAUAAUUUUCGUGCAUCAGGGAGCUGCUAUCAAUAUGCGGAUUAUUAAAAUUUCUGUUGAAUGAGUGCUUAUCGUUUACUUUCACUUUCAAAUUCGCGGUCAUGCGCUCUGUGUAAAGGAAGAUCAGAUAUUUGUCAGUGAACUCAGUAUCUGUUCAGCAGCAACAGAUCUGUAGGAUUAAUUUUUUGACAUAUAUGUAGAAUAUUUGUUUCAUAUUUCAUGUGAUCUCAUUACAACUCUUCAAUAUUUUGCAGAUAACAGCUCUGGAUAUGGCUGGCCAGAAGACGAAUUUGUAAGUAUUUAACAAAUAUCACUUUUCUAAAAAUAAAAAGACAUCUUUCUCUUAUAUGGCUAAUCUGAACUGGUAAUUCAUAUACCAUAAGGCCAUCCUCUUUCAGUACAACUGUUUACUUCUCAUGACGCAAUUACUGACACAUAUGAGUUGUUAUAUUUCAUUAUUUGAAAUCUUUUAACACACCUGAACAAUCCUGACAAUUUUGUGUACAUUAAUCUGUACAUUUCCAGGACGAGGAAGAUGCUGAUACAUAUGAAGCUCCUCCAUGUGAACGUCCCACCAUUAAAGUCCAACCUCGCCAAGUAGAGGAGAAUGUUUACCUGGGUUAUCCAGAUCGAACCCCAAACCCUGUUAUUCCCAAAAGACAGGCAGCACCGCCGCCACGACCAGCCAAGAUCACCCCGACAGGGAAAAGCACGAAGCCAGAGCCGCCUCACGACGAGUUUUACAUCGACCCCAAUGACAGCAAACCGCCUGAGGUGAUACGCAAUGAUAAACCUGGUAAAAAAGCCCCUCCUAAGAGACCCCCGAUGAGACCCCCACCGGCCUCUCAGCAAGACGAAGAUGUUUACUUGGACCCAAAUGAAGGACAGGAAUAUGAUACCUAUCUAGCUCCUGUAGCAGAACCUCCUGCACCCCGAAGCCCGGCCCGCAUCCCUAUGCCUCCCAAAACUCUAGGACGAGACCUUCCACCGCAAAUGUAUGUGUGUCUCUGAAUGUCAAAAUCAGGGUUUAUAACGUAAAAUAAAACUAAAACUAAAACCAUAUUCAAAAAAUUAUAA